rnacentral:misc_RNA from 1 species
CAGAGUUAUUCCAAACUCCUAAACCCAUGUGAACUUACCUUUGUUGCCUCGGCGGGGGAGGUCUCGGAGAAGCUACCCUGUAGCGGAUCCGCCCCUCACUCCAAACCCCGCCGGUGGAUCACACCAAAACUCUUGUUUUUAACAGUGACACUUCUGAGUUACAUACAAAAAUAAGUCA